rnacentral:snoRNA from 1 species
CACUCAGAUACGGGGGACAAGGGUCCACGUCAAUUGUGCGACCUGUUGACUCAUAGACGUCCGGUUUGUAAUCACGCCGC